rnacentral:rRNA from 1 species
UGGGGGAUAUUGCACAAUGGGCGAAAGCCUGAUGCAGCGACGCCGCGUGGGGGAUGAAGGCUUUCGGGUUGUAAACCUCUUUCGCUAUCGAACAAGGCCCGCUUAGGGUGGGUUGAGGGUAGGUGGAGAAGAAGCGCCGGCUAACUACGUGCCAGCAGCCGCGGUAAUACGUAGGGCGCGAGCGUUGUCCGGCAUUAUUGGGCGUACAGGGCUUGUAGGCGGCUUGUUGCGCCUGCUGUGAAAACGCGGGGCUUAACUUCGCGCGUGCAGUGGGUAGGGGCAGGCUUGAGUGUGGUAGGGGUGACUGGAAUUCCAGGUGUAGCGGUGGAAUGCGCAGAUAUCUGGAGGAACACCGAUGGCGAAGGCAGGGCACUGGGCCAUUACUGACGCUGAGGAGCGAAAGCAUGGGUAGCGAACAGG